UACGUAGGGCGCAAGCGUUGUCCGGAAUCAUUGGGCGUAAAGAGCUCGUAGGCGGCCUGUCGCGUCCGCUGUGAAAUCCCGGGGCUUAACCCCGGGCGUGCAGUGGAUACGGGCUGGCUGGAGGCAGGCAGGGGAGAACGGAAUUCCCGGUGUAGCGGUGAAAUGCGCAGAUAUCGGGAAGAACACCCGUGGCGAAGGCGGCUCUCUGGGACGGUACUGACGCUGAGACGCGAAAGCGUGGGGAGCGAACAGG
rnacentral:rRNA from 1 species